GCUGCUGCCCGCGAUAUGUGCAAAGGGAGAAAUUAAUAACUGCACUUUAGCAUGCAGGCGCAGAAACCCGAGACGCUAAAUAACCGGCAUCUCCUCUAGCAUCAGCAACCUCAAAAAGCAUGAAAAGAAAAUCUGGAGAAUCCUGUCUAUUCACAGGGACUGGCUAAUAUUUUAUUUCUUUUUACCUCACCCUCUUAAUCCAUUCGUGAAGAGGCUGUUAGCAGGCUGUUUCCUUGGUCCUGGAAAGAGAGUCUUUAAUGACUGGAAAACUCAAUGGAUCAUGUUUUUAUAAUCUAAGCUAUUUUUAUAUUGACUGUGCGGUUAACACAUGGA